CCAAACACCCCUCAGCCUACCAUGAAAAUAAACACAGAUCUUGAGUUCCUUUAAAGGAAAUUCUAGCUAUCUAUCUAGCCUCCUGAGCAACUUGAUAAGCAAUAAGAUAAUAGUAGCUUGUCACAAUAGCCAAGGAAGUUAGAGUCAGGAAAUGUUUUGUUCAUAUAGAAACUAAAGAAAACAUUUUAUGUUUUUUUUUUUUUUUAACUUUUAGGUUCGGAGGUACAUGUGAAGGUUUGUUACACAGGCAAAUGUAGCUUGAAUUCAUUAAAAGCUCCUGG
rnacentral:lncRNA from 1 species